ensembl:lincRNA
UCCAAGUCAAGAGCUUCUCCAUCGGAUGUGCCUCAGGCUUCAGAGUCCAAUAUGGAAAAAAGUGUAUCCUGGGACUCAAAGCUCACUGAUAUCGAUUCAAACCUUGGGGCAUGGGAAGUUGGUAUGCUGACCUGGUCUCCAUCAACCUGGAUUGCACAGGCUCAAGUUUCAGAGACUCGGAUGGCAAAGGCUCAGGCCUGGGAGACCCUUGCUUUGGCAAGAAUUACCUUACAACCCAAGCCUAGUGUCACAGAAUUAGCAACAGUAACAACCCUGGAACAGGAAUCCUCAGAGUUGGUGAACAGGAUGAGGGAGAGCAGUGAAGGCUACCCUCCCCGGCAGCUCUGGGCCAGCAAGGUUGAGUACAUCCUGGCCAUCAUGAGCUACUUGCUGAUGCCAUCUGGAGUCCUGCGCUUUGCCUCAGGCUGGGUUCACAAAGGAAGCUGCAGCUUCUUUAUAGCAUACAUCUUGAUGCUGUUGGGCAUUGGGAUUCCUCUUCUCUUCCUGGAGAUGGCAGUUGGUCAGAGGGCACAGCAGAGCAGUGCGGACAUGUGGAAGAACCUGAGCCCCUGGUUUGGUGGAGUGGGGUACAGCAUGGUUAUGGUGUGCUUCAUCACCAACACCUACCUGAACGUGUUCAAUUCUUGGAUCCUCUUCUACAUGAGCCACAUAUUCUACUUUGUUGUCCCAUGGGACCAGUGUCCCUUACAAAGGAAUUCUAGUAACUUUGAUCCUGAAUGUGAACAGGCAACAUCCUACACGUACUUUUGGUACCGGAAGACCUUGAAAGCCUCAGACAGAAUUGAGGAUGGAGGGCAACCGUCCUUCAGCCUGGGCAUGUUUCUCUUUCUGUCCUUCUGUCUCAUUUGUGCUUUCUUGGUCAAUGGGAUCAAGUCCAUUGGGAAGGUCCUGUUUGUCUUGCUACUGGUUCCCUAUUCCAUCAUCGUCUGCUUCCUCAUCCGGACUCUGUCGAUGGACGGCGCAGAAUACGGGCUUAAGCACCUGCUGAUCCUCAAGGUGGCGAGCAUCUCUGACUUAACUAUUUGGUGCCAUGCAGGUAUCCAGGUCUUGUUUGAUAUCGGCCUGGGCUUUGGCCCCAUUGUCUCCUUAGCCUCACACGUACCCGACUUCAACAACUGUAUGGCCGAUGCCUUCUUAAUGGCUCUGUUCAAGAUAAUCACCUUACUGAUGACCACACCCUUCCUCCUCUCCAUCCUGGGCUUCUGGGCCACUACAACUACACAUCACUGCUGUAAGAAGAACCAAGAGAAGCUUCUAAGGCUGGUAGCCCAGGGGAUCCUGCCGCCUGACGCACAGCCCCCGGACCUGAGCGUCAACCCGACCUCCAGCUACACUUCCUGGCUCAGCAGCCUCCCCCCACCCUUGAGGAGCGCCGUUCUCAGCGUGGUGCCUGAAUGCAGCGUCCAGAAGCAGUUUCUGAAGAUUAAGGACAACCCUCGCUUCCUGUUCCUGAUCUUCACUGAGGUCAUCUCACUGUUACCUGGGUCUGGCUUCUGGAUUGUCCUCUUCUUCCUGUUGCUGCUGACUCUGGGGUUGUGUUCCAAUCUCAUGUUCAUGCUGGGCAACGUUUUGACACUCCAGGACACCUUCCCCUUCUGCAGGAGACAGCCGAGGUUGCUCAUAGUGUGUGUUUCCAUGGCGAUGUUCCUGUGCGGCCUCAUCUUCAUCCAACCUUCAGGCAUCUACUACUUUUCACUGCUGAGUGAAUGCUGGGUAGCAGUGCCCGUCAUCAUCAUCAUCAUAUGCGAAAACCUUGCUGUAGCCUGGGCCUACGGGGCCGACAGGUUCCUUGCAGACAUGGUGGCUCUGCUGGGCCGGCCCAUUUUCUCUGGCUGUGGCUGGCUGUGGUGCUACAUCUCUCCAAUGGUGGUGCUAGGCCUGUUAAUGUCCGUCUUCGUAUACCUUGUCAAGGGGCCCCUUGUCUACUUUGCCUGGGACUCAAGCACUGUGAGUGUCCUUUCUCACAUCUUGAAGCUCCUUCCA